rnacentral:snoRNA from 1 species
AUCCUCAGGUUCAUAAUCGUGAUGAUUGGGUGUUCAUGCUCCAUGCAUGACAUGUGCCUCCUUUGAACCUUGUUACGACAUUGGCACAUUACCCAUCUGAUG